GUGGGGAAUCUUCCGCAAUGGACGAAAGUCUGACGGAGCAACGCCGCGUGAGUGAUGAAGGUCUUCGGAUUGUAAAGCUCUGUUAAUCGGGACGAAAGAGCCUAGUGUGAAUAAUGCUAGGAAGUGACGGUACCGGAAUAGAAAGCCACGGCUAACUACGUGCCAGCAGCCGCGGUAAUACGUAGGUGGCAAGCGUUGUCCGGAAUUAUUGGGCGUAAAGCGCGCGCAGGCGGAUCUGCCAGUCUGUCUUAAAAGUUCGGGGCUUAACCCCGUGAUGGGAUGGAAACUACAGAGCUAGAGUAUCGGAGAGGAAAGUGGAAUUCCUAGUGUAGCGGUGAAAUGCGUAGAUAUUAGGAAGAACACCAGUGGCGAAGGCGACUUUCUGGACGAAAACUGACGCUGAGGCGCGAAAGCCAGGGGAGCGAACGGGAUUAGAAACCCCGGUAGUCC
rnacentral:rRNA from 1 species